rnacentral:tRNA from 2 species
AAUGGAGUGCCUGAAAAAGGAUUACUAUGAUAGGGUAAAUAAUGUAUAAAAAUACCUCCAUUA